rnacentral:piRNA from 1 species
UGGGGAGAAUAUUACCAAGCACCUUCCUA